rnacentral:rRNA from 1 species
GAUGAACGCUGGCGGCGUGCCUAAUACAUGCAAGUCGAGCGAACAGACGAGGAGCUUGCUCCUCUGACGUUAGCGGCGGACGGGUGAGUAACACGUGGAUAACCUACCUAUAAGACUGGGAUAACUUCGGGAAACCGGAGCUAAUACCGGAUAAUAUAUUGAACCGCAUGGUUCAAUAGUGAAAGACGGUUUUGCUGUCACUUAUAGAUGGAUCCGCGCCGCAUUAGCUAGUUGGUAAGGUAACGGCUUACCAAGGCAACGAUGCGUAGCCGACCUGAGAGGGUGAUCGCCCACACUGGAACGGAGACACGGUCCAGACUCCUACGGGAGGCAGCAGUAGGGAAUCUUCCGCAAUGGGCGAAAGCCUGACGGAGCAACGCCGCGUGAGUGAUGAAGGUCUUCGGAUCGUAAAACUCUGUUAUUAGGGAAGAACAAAUGUGUAAGUAACUAUGCACGUCUUGACGGUACCUAAUCAGAAAGCCACGGCUAACUACGUG